rnacentral:rRNA from 1 species
GAUCCUGGCUCAGGAUGAACGCUAGCUACAGGCUUAACACAUGCAAGUCGAGGGGCAGCAUUUCAGUUUGCUUGCAAACUGGAGAUGGCGACCGGCGCACGGGUGAGUAACGCGUAUCCAACCUGCCCAUCACUUGGGAAUAACCUUGCGAAAGUAAGACUAAUGCCCAAUGAUAUCCCACGAAGGCAUCCGAAUGGGAUUAAAGAUUUAUCGGUGAUGGAUGGGGAUGCGU